AAAGGUUGAUGAUAAGGUGCUGCUGUCUCAAGCAAGCACUCUCGUUCUCGUUUUCGUUAUAUCGUUGUCGACCUAAACCCUCGAAGGCUAAGCAACAUAUCCAUGAAGUCGAGCAGCACCUACCAUUUUCCCAACCAAUCUCAAAUGUGAAGUUUUCCUUAAAGGAGAAGUUGGAUACUUGGCUCAAUCUCUCUAUGUCAUGCUUUUGUUGGUUAUGUUAAUUGGGACCCGACCAGCGUCUUGGCCUGUUGCAAUUGGAUCAAAGCCAACCAACCACCAUAGGAAUGGAGUAAUGGAAAAUAUGGGAGGUUCAGCAGCUUUCUUGAUCAAUUGACCAAACUUACCAGUUCACGUCUCCUUUUGAUUACAUGUUGCGUACACAACUUUGGUUUGUUUGAUCAACCUGAAAAGAUCAUCCAGAAGGCUCGAACUCCGGUCUUCGGCUGCAGCUCUCUCAAUCUAUACUGUUCUAUAUCGUGUUUUAAGUUUCACCGACAUAUAAUAGUCAUUACAACGACUUAAACUACAUAAUAACUAAUCUUUCAUGAAUUGGUUGUGAAAAGAUAUUGUUUUAUUAAUUUGUACGAUAGUGGAAUCUAGAAAUUCAUAUAACAAAACGGGGAAAAGAUUAACAACGUAACCAAGGCCGGAAG